UACGAGAGGUCCAAACGUUAUUCGGAAUCACUGGGCUUACAGGGUGCGUAGGCGGCUUAGCAAGUCAGGUGUGAAAGCCCCCGGCUCAACCGGGGAACUGCGCUUGAAACUGCUGAGCUCGAGUCAGCUAGAGGUACACGGAACUUCCAGUGGAGCGGUGAAAUGUGUUGAUAUUGGAAAGAACACCGGAGGCGAAAGCGGUGUACUGGGGCUGGUCUGACGCUGAGGCACGAAAGCCAGGGGAGCGAACGGG
rnacentral:rRNA from 1 species